rnacentral:rRNA from 1 species
AUGGCCCUUACGGCCUGGGCUACACACGUGCUACAAUGGUCGGUACAAAGGGUUGCCAAGCCGCGAGGUGGAGCUAAUCCCAUAAAACCGAUCGUAGUCCGGAUCGCAGUCUGCAACUCGACCGCGUGAAGUCGGAAUCGCUAGUAAUCGUGAAUCAGAAUGUCACGGUGAAUACGUUCCCGGGCCUU